UACGUAGGGUGCGAGCGUUGUCCGGAAUUAUUGGGCGUAAAGAGCUCGUAGGCGGUCUGUCGCGUCUGCUGUGAAAACCCGAGGCUCAACCUCGGGCCUGCAGUGGGUACGGGCAGACUAGAGUGCGGUAGGGGAGAAUGGAACUCCUGGUGUAGCGGUGGAAUGCGCAGAUAUCAGGAAGAACACCGAUGGCGAAGGCAGUUCUCUGGGCAGUAACUGACGCUGAGGAGCGAAAGCGUGGGGAGCGAACAGG
rnacentral:rRNA from 1 species